CGGUGUUUAACUGGCGUGAUGUGGGACGUCCUACCGGUGGGCUUAGCCUCGCGAGGGGCGGCCCAACUAAUAUCCCGUCGCGGUGCUCUUUACUGAGUGUCGAGUCGGGCCGGUACGUUUACUUUGAACAAAUUAGAGUGCUUAAAGCAGGCUAUCCUCCCCUGAAUACUGCGUGCAUGGAAUAAUGGAAUAGGACCUCGGUUCUAUUUUGUUGGUUUUCGGAACCCCGAGGUAAUGAUUAAUAGGGACAGAUGGGGGCAUUCGUAUUGCGACGUUAGAGGUGAAAUUCUUGGAUCGUCGCAAGACGGACAGAAGCGAAAGCAUUUGCCAAAAAUGUUUUCAUUAAUCAAGAACGAAAGUUAGAGGUUCGAAGGCGAUCAGAUACCGCCCUAGUUUUAACCAUAAACGAUGCCAGCUAGCGAUCCGCCGAAGUUCCUCCGAUGACUCGGCGGGCAGCUUCCGGGAAACCAAAGCUUUUGGGUUCCGGGGGAAGUAUGGUUGCAAAGCUGAAACUUAAAGGAAUUGACGAGAGGGGCACCACCCAGGAGUGGAGCCUGCGGCUUAAUUUGACUCAACACGGGAAACCUCACCAGGCCCCAGACACCGGAAGGAUUGACAGAUUGAUAGCUCUUUCUUGAUUCGGUGGGUGGUGGUGCAUGGCCGUUUUUAGUUGGUGGAGCGAUUUGUCUGGUUAAUUCUGAUAACGAACGAGACUCUAGCCUGCUAAAUAGGCGUACCUUAUGGUAUCGCGAAGGCCCCCGGCUUCGGCCGGUGGGUUUUUAUUACCAACGUACAAACAAAUCUUUUUAGAGGGACAGGCGG
rnacentral:rRNA from 1 species